AAGAGAACGUCUGAUCACCUUAGUGAAUCGAGGAUGGAUUUAAAAUUUGGGAUAAAAGGAGACAAGGAGGAGAGUUUUCUUGUGAUGCAAGAAGAUGAUAUCUCAUUGUAUUUUCAUUUGAAGAAAAGAAUUCAUCACUAUGGCCUAAGACACCUUUGCACAAAUACUGUCUUUACUGAAGAUUGCAAGGAGGUUGGGAGCAGAGAA